rnacentral:rRNA from 1 species
AGUGAACGCUGGCGGUAGGCCUAACACAUGCAAGUCGAACGGCAGCACAGUAAGAGCUUGCUCUUACGGGUGGCGAGUGGCGGACGGGUGAGGAAUACAUCGGAAUCUACUUUUUCGUGGGGGAUAACGUAGGGAAACUUACGCUAAUACCGCAUACGACCUACGGGUGAAAGCAGUGGAUCUUCGGACCUUUCGCGAUUGAAUGAGCCGAUGUCGGAUUAGCUAGUUGGCGGGGUAAAGGCCCACCAAGGCGACGAUCCGUAGCUGGUCUGAGAGGAUGAUCAGCCACACUGGAACUGAGACACGGUCCAGACUCCUACGGGAGGCAGCAGUGGGGAAUAUUGGACAAUGGGCGCAAGCCUGAUCCAGCCAUACCGCGUGGGUGAAGAAGGCCUUCGGGUUGUAAAGCCCUUUUGUUGGGAAAGAAAAGCAGCAGGUUAAUACCCCGCUGUUCUGACGGUACCCAAGGAAUAAGCACCGGCUAACUUCGUG